rnacentral:lncRNA from 1 species
CUUGGGACUCUAACUGUCAGUGCGUGUUGUGAAACUCGGUGUUUAAGAGGAAGUAAUCUGCAGCAGAAGGAGGAAAAAAACAGAACCCGAAACAAAUCUGCUGGCGAAAAGCAUGUAAACUGCCUCUUUUAAGUAGAGUUGGGAGUAACAUCAGACUAUAGCAGGACAUCCACACAGGAGGAGGUCUUCCAGGAUGAUUGUGAAAAAAGCAUUAAAAACAUCCCUGAUGCUUAAUGAGUCUUCCAACAUGAAAUUAAGCGUGAACAAUCAAAAAGACGUCAAAACGUUUCAAAUCUUAGGGGCAAUUUUGAUACUUGGUGUUGUCCUGAUCGCUGUUUACUUCAUGGGAGUGGACAGCAUAGUUGAUUCUAAUGGAGAAGAAGGAGUUGUCAGCAUUUACGAAGAGUGGGAGGAGGAAGAAGCACUCUAUGGAGAUCUCCCGGGAACCACAAUAAUUGAGGAGGACACCAAUAGACCCAAUGACUCUUGCAGGUAAGCCAGGCCUGAUGUGGCACGUGGAGAAGUAAUGACCAGGUGGAGAAAUUGUUACAAUGCUGACAAUAUGAGCAUGGCUUUUGUUCUCUUCCCAUUGUAUAAUAAGUGAUAAAGUACCACU